rnacentral:rRNA from 1 species
UACGAAGGGGGCUAGCGUUGCUCGGAAUUACUGGGCGUAAAGGGUGCGUAGGUGGGCAGGUAAGUCAGUGGUGAAAUCUCCGAGCUUAACUCGGAAACUGCCGUUGAUACUAUUUGUCUUGAAUAUUGUGGAGGUAAGCGGAAUAUGUCAUGUAGCGGUGAAAUGCUUAGAUAUGACAUAGAACACCAAUUGCGAAGGCAGCUUACUACACAACGAUUGACGCUGAGGCACGAAAGCGUGGGGAUCAAACAGG